rnacentral:lncRNA from 1 species
GUCGUUUGACUUAGCAAACGAGGAUCGGAUAUCGUCAACCUUCUUUUCAAAAUGGUUGACGAAGUCAUCCGCGGGGAGGGGGAGGAGGAUUCAGGAGGGAGGAGAAGGUAGCAAAGAGCUUCCUAGGGUUAGAGGCAGAUGCUUGGAAAUUAGAGUGGUAGAAAGUGGCUUUAGCAGCAGUGACAGAAGAGGAGAAUGUAGAGAGGAGUGAGUGAAAGGAUGCCAGGUCCGCAGGGAGGCGAGUUUUCCUCCAUUUCCGCUCGGCUGCCCGGAGCCUUGUUCUGUGAGCUCGUAGUGAGUCGUCGAGCCACGGGGCAGGAGGGGAGGACCGAGCCGGCCUGGAGGAUAGGGGACAGAGAAAAUCAAAGGAUGCAGAAAGGGAGGAGAGGAGGGUUGAGGAGGCAGAAUCAGGAGAUGGGUUGGAGGUUUGAGCAGAGGGAAGAGAUGAUAGGAUGGAAGAGGAGAGAGUAGCGGGAGAGAGAGAGCGAAGGUUGGGACGGCGCAAUACCAUCCGAGUAGGGGCAGAGUGAGAAGUGUUGGAUGAGAGCAAGAGGGAAAAGGAUACAAGGUAGUGGUCGGAGAUUUGGAGGGGAGUUGCAAUGAGAUUAGUGGAAGAACAGCAUCUAGUAAAGAUGAGGUCAAGCGUAUUGCCUGCCUUGUGAGUAGGGGGGGAAGGUGAGAGGGUGAGGUCAAAAGAGGAGAGGAGUGGAAAGAAGGAGGCAGAGAGGAAUAAGUCAAAGGUAGACGUGGGGAGGUUAAAGUCACCCAGAACUGUGAGAGGUGAGCCAUCCUCAGGAAAGGAACUUAUCAAGGCGUCAAGCUCAUUGAUGAACUCUCCAAGGGAACCUGGAGGGCGAUAAAUGAUAAGGAUGUUAAGCUUGAAAGGGCUGGUAACUGUGACAGCAUGGAAUUCAAAUGAGGAGAUAGACAGAUGGGUCAGGGGAGAAAGAGAGAAUGUCCACUUGGGAGAGAUGAGGAUUCCAGUGCCACCACCCCGCUGGCUCGAUGCUCUAGGGGUAUGCGAGAACACGUGGGCAGACGAAGAGAGAGCAGUAGGAGUAGCAGUGUUAUCUGUGGUAAUCCAUGUUUCCGUCAGCGCCAGGAAGUCUAGGGACUGGAGGGUAGCAUAGGCUGAGAUUAACUCAGCCUUGUUGGCUGCAGACCGGCAGUUCCAGAGGCUGCCGGAGACCUGGAACUCCACGUGGGUCGUGCGCGCUGGGACCACCAGGUUAGAGUGGCAGCGGCCACGCGGUGUGAAGCGUUUGUAUGGCCUGUGCAGAGAGGAGAGAACAGGGAUAGACAGACACAUAGUUGAC